rnacentral:rRNA from 1 species
AUUGAACGCUGGCGGCAGGCUUAACACAUGCAAGUCGAGCGGAGAUGAGGUGCUUGCACCUUAUCUUAGCGGCGGACGGGUGAGUAAUGCUUAGGAAUCUGCCUAUUAGUGGGGGACAACAUUCCGAAAGGAAUGCUAAUACCGCAUACGUCCUACGGGAGAAAGCAGGGGAUCUUCGGACCUUGCGCUAAUAGAUGAGCCUAAGUCGGAUUAGCUAGUUGGUGGGGUAAAGGCCUACCAAGGCGACGAUCUGUAGCGGGUCUGAGAGGAUGAUCCGCCACACUGGGACUGAGACACGGCCCAGACUCCUACGGGAGGCAGCAGUGGGGAAUAUUGGACAAUGGGGGGAACCCUGAGCCAGCCAUGCCGCGUGUGUGAAGAAGGCCUUAUGGUUGUAAAGCACUUUCAGCGAGGAGGAAGGGAUGUAUGUUAAUAGCAUGCAUUUUUGACGUUACUCGCAGAAGAAGCACCGGCUAACUCUGUGCCAGCAGCCGCCGUAAUAC